UACGUAGGGACCGAGCGUUGUCCGGAAUCAUUGGGCGUAAAGAGCUCGUAGGCGGCUUGUCGCGUCGUCCGUGAAAACCUGCAGCUCAACUGCAGGCUUGCGGGCGAUACGGGCAGGCUAGAGUUCGGUAGGGGAGACUGGAAUUCCUGGUGUAGCGGUGGAAUGCGCAGAUAUCAGGAGGAACACCGGUGGCGAAGGCGGAUCUCUGGGCCUUACCUGACGCUCAGGUGCGAAAGCUAGGGGAGCGAACAGG
rnacentral:rRNA from 1 species